GAUGAACGCUGGCGGCGUGCCUAAUACAUGCAAGUCGAGCGAACAGACGAGGAGCUUGCUCCUCUGACGUUAUCGGCGGACGGGUGCGUAACACGUGGAUAACCUACCUAUAAGACUGGGAUAACUUCGGGAAACCGGAGCUAAUACCGGAUAAUAUAUUGAACCGCAUGGUUCAAUAGUGAAAGACGGUUUUGCUGUCACUUAUAGAUGGAUCCGCGCCGCAUUAGAUAGUUGGUAAGGUAACGGCUUAACAAGGCAACGAGGCGUAGCCGACCUGAGAGGGUGAUCGGCCAGACUGGAACUGAGACUCGGUCCAGACUCCGACGGGAGGCAGCAGUAGGGAAUCUUCCGCAAUGGGCGAGAGCCUGACGUAGCAACGCCGCGUGAGUGAUGAAGGUGUUCGGAUCGUAAAACUCUGUUAUUAGGGAAGAACAAAUGUGUAAGUAACUAUGCACGUCUUGACGGUACCUAAUCAGAAAGCCACGGCUAACUACGUG
rnacentral:rRNA from 1 species